rnacentral:rRNA from 1 species
UGGCGGACGGGGGAGUAAUGUCUGGGAAACUGCCUGAUGGAGGGGGAUAACUACUGGAAACGGUAGCUAAUACCGCAUAACGUCGCAAGACCAAAGAGGGGGACCUUAGGGCCUCUUGCCAUCGGAUGUGCCCAGAUGGGAUUAGCUAGUAGGUGGGGUAAAGGCUCACCUAGGCGACGAUCCCUAGCUGGUCUGAGAGGAUGACCAGCCACACUGGAACUGAGACACGGUCCAG